CGGACCUCAGAUCAGACAAGACCACCCGCUGAGUUU
rnacentral:rRNA from 1 species